GAUCAUGGCUCAGGAUGAACGCUAGCGACAGGCUUAACACAUGCAAGUCAGGGGCAUCAUGAGGUAGCAAUACCUUCAUGGCGACCUGCGCACGGGUGAGUAACGCGUAUGCAACCUGCCCGAUACCGGGGUAUAGCCCAUGGAAACGUGGAUUAACACCCCAUAGUACUUUUAUCCUGCCUGGGAUGGGAGUUAAAUGUUCAAGGUAUCGGAUGGGCAUGCGUCCUAUUAGUUAG
rnacentral:rRNA from 1 species